rnacentral:lncRNA from 1 species
ACUUAAUUCAGGCAUAGUCAUAAGUAUCAAACGAUAUAAGACUCAUUUCAACCGAGACUCAUCUCACACUUUCGGUUGAUUAUCGACGAUCGGCUCCGUUAAACUUGAUCUAUACUUUUAAAAGUAUUUGGAGACUAAAUUUCAUAAUUUUUCAACAUUAUUUACCUAUCAAAUGAGUAGUCUAAAAAUAAAUGGGUGAAAAUAAAAAUCUCAUAAAAAAUGAUGAUAAAGACUUGAAUUUAAAAUCAGAGGUACUGACCUUACACUGAAUAGUGAAAAGAAUUUUUGAUAAAAAUUUCAUCUAAUUUGAAUUGUUUUACACCGUUAAAUUUACAAACGCAUCACAUCGACCAUUAAAAUUAUCAAUUUUGAGACAUUUUGAUCAUUAGCCAAAUAAUGUCGAAAAAUUAUAAAAUUUAGUUUUCAAAUACUUUUAAUAGUGUAGAUCAAGUUUAACGGAGCCGAUCGUCGAUUUGGAAGUGACAUCAUUGAAAACAACUUGGUUGCAUGGAGGUAGGGGUGUAAUGUGGGUUGUGC